rnacentral:rRNA from 1 species
UACGUAGGGAGCGAGCGUUGUCCGGAUUUAUUGGGCGUAAAGGGCGCGUAGGCGGCCACGCACGUCCGUUGUGAAAUCGCCCGGCUCAACUGGGCGGGGUCAGCGGAUACGGUGUGGCUCGAGCAAGCUAGGGGGCAAUGGAAUUCCCGGUGUAGUGGUGGAAUGCGUAGAUAUCGGGAGGAACACCAGUGGCGAAGGCGGUUGCCUGGAGCUUUGCUGACGCUGAUGCGCGAAAGCGUGGGGAGCGAUCCGG